GAAAGUUGCACACUGCCAGAUGGAAGUCCUU
rnacentral:piRNA from 1 species